rnacentral:misc_RNA from 1 species
AACCUAGCACACCUGCGGUGUGUAUCUGCGGAAGGAUCAUUAACCUUUCAAAUCAGGGUGCGGCGCGGCCCCCGAGGAGCGGAAACAAUCCUUGGGAGGUAUGCGGGGGCUUCGAGCCCCCCAUUUACGCACGCACGACUGCCAUCCUUACUUUACGAGCACCUUCUGUUCUCCCUCGGCGGGGCAACCUGCCGUUGGAACCGAAUAAACUCUUUUUGCAUCUAGCAUUACCUGUUCCGA